rnacentral:misc_RNA from 1 species
GUGUUUACACUGUAAUCUUGGUUGAUGGGGGAGUUUGCUUUCAUGGAAGACUGGGAUCUGCGAGCUGUGGUGAGCGGAUCCACUACUGAAGCUUUUGCAAAUAUCGUGAACAACCCACCAUCUCUGUUCACUCCUCUGAAUCUUGAACGAGAUGAGCUUUUUAGUUUCCCUGAAAUCUUUGAAUCCACAACUGAUUUUUAUAGACAGGAAGAAAUUUACGACCCCUUGUACCCUGUGUUGCACCAGCAGUCACUUUCCACCCG